CUUUAUCUUAUCAAACGUAAAUCUGAUGUGUUUGACAUUUUUGUUCAAUUCCAAAAACAUGUUGAACGCUUUCUCAAGCACAAAAUUGUUCAUGUUCAGUCGGACUGGGGUGGCGAGUAUCGCAACCUCAACUCUUUCUUUCAGUCGCUUGGGAUCACUCACCGUUUAGCAUGUCCACAUACACAUCAGCAGAAUGGUUCAGUAGAACGUAAGCAUCGUCACAUUGUUGAAGCUGGUCUGACUCUUUUGGCCCAUGCAUCUGUUCCGUUUCGUUUUUGGAGUGAUGCUUUCACCACUGCAUGUUUUCUCAUCAAUCGUACCCCCA
rnacentral:rRNA from 1 species